UAAGGAAUAUUGCUCAAUGGGAGAAAUCCUGAAGCAGCAACGCCGCGUGGAGGAUGAAGGGUCUAUGACUUGUAAACUCCUGUAAAGAAGGAAAAAAUUCCCAUUUGAUGGGAGAUGAUGGUACUUCUGGAGUAAGCCCCGGCUAACUACGUGCCAGCAGCCGCGGUAAUACGUAGGGGGCAAGCGUUGUCCGGAUUUACUGGGUGUAAAGGGUGCUCAGGCGGAUUUGUAAGUCAGAGGUGAAAUCUUACAGCUUAACUGUGAAACUGCCUUUGAUUCUGCAAGCCUAGAGUAUGGAAGAGAGUGAUGGAAUAUCUGGUGUAGCAGUGAAAUGCGUAGAUAUCAGAUAGAACACCAAUGGCGAAGGCAGUCACUUGGUCCAUUACUGACGCUAAAGCACGAAAGCGUGGGUAGCAAACA
rnacentral:rRNA from 1 species